CCUACGGGCGGCAGCAGUGGGGGAUAUUGCACAAUGGGGGGAACCCUGAUGCAGCGACGCCGCGUGGGUGAAGGAGUGCUUCGGCAUGUAAAGCCCUAUCGGCAGGGAAGAAGCAAGACGGUACCUGACUAAGAAGCCCCGGCUAACUACGUGCCAGCAGCGGAGGAAAGACGUAGGGGGCGAUCGUUAUCCGGAUUCACUGGGUGUAAAGGGAGCGUAGACGGCCAUGCAAGCCAGGGGUGAAAGCCCGGGGCCCAACCCCGGGACUGCCCUUGGAACUGGGCGGCUAGAGUGCGGGAGGGGCAGGCGGAAUUCCUGGUGUAGCGGUGAAAUGCGUAGAUAUCAGGAGGAACACCGGCGGCGAAGGCGGCCUGCUGGACCGCGACUGACGUUGAGGCUCGAAAGCGUGGGGAGCGAACAGGAUUAGAUACCCCUGUAGUC
rnacentral:rRNA from 1 species